UAAGGGAAUUUUUCCGCAAUGGGCGAAAGCCUGACGGAGCAACGCCGCGUGAGUGAUGAAGUUNUUCGGAUCGUAAAACUCUGUUAUUAGGGAAGAACAAACCGUGUAAGUAACUGUGCACGUCUUGACGGUACCUAAUCAGAAAGCCACGGCUAACUACGUGCCAGCAGCCGCGGUAAUACGUAGGUGGCAAGCGUUAUCCGGAAUUAUUGGGCGUAAAGCGCGCGUAGGCGGUUUUUUAAGUCUGAUGUGAAAGCCCACGGCUCAACCGUGGGGGGUCAUUGGAAACUGGAAAACUUGAGUGCAGAAGAGGAAAGUGGAAUUCCAUGUGUAGCGGUGAAAUGCGCAGAGAUAUGGGUGGAACACCAGUGGCGAAGGCGACUUUCUGGUCUGUAACUGACGCUGAUGUGCGAAAGCGUGGGGAUCAAACAGGAUUAGAUACCCUGGUAGUCCACGCCGUAAACGAUGAGUGCUAAGUGUUAGGGGGUUUCCGCCCCUUAGUGCUGCAGCUAACGCAUUAAGCACUCCGCCUGGGGAGUACGACCGCAAGGUUGAAACUCAAAGGAAUUGACGGGAAUC
rnacentral:rRNA from 1 species